CCCUUAGACGUUCUGGGCCGCACGCGCGCUACACUGACGAAGUCAGCGAGCAUGUCCUACGCCGACAGGUGCGGGGAAUCUUGUCAAACUUCGUCGUGAUGGGGAUUGAUUAUUGAAAUUCUUGAUCAUCAACGAGGAAUUCCUAGUAAGCGCAAGUCAGCAGCUUGCGUUGAUUACGUCCCAGCCCUUUGUACACACCGCCCGUCGCUACUACCGAUUGAAUGGUUUAGUGAGAUCUUCGGAUUGGCGCCACUGCGGCUCAGCAAUGGGCUCGGUGGAUGCCGAAAAGUUGAUCAAACUUGAUCAUUUAGAGGAAGUAAAAGUCGUAACA
rnacentral:rRNA from 1 species